GGAAGGAUCAUUAAUAUUUUCCAAACCUAAUGACAUUCGUUCCUAAUAUUGUGACGAAUGUUAUACCCCAAAAGCGAACUUUGUUGUUUUCCAAAAGAGAAAUGAAGGAAGGUGGAGCAAUCUGCCUGAUUUUUAUUUCUUCUUUUUUCUUUUUUUUUCUUUUCAAACCCAAAUGAAACUAAUUUGACUGAAACUUUUUCGCAUUGGGUAAUUCCAAUGAGAAAGAAAACGUUAAUGAGAAAAACAACUCUUAACAACGGAUAUCUUGGCUCUCGUAACGAUGAAGAACGCAGCGAAAUGCGAUACGUAAUGCGAAUUGCAGAAUUCAGUGAAUCAUCAAAUCUUUGAACGCAACUUGCGCUCUUGGGAUAUGCCUGAGAGCAUGCCUUUUUGAGUGUCGCAUCUACCUCUCCCUCAAAACUCUUUGUUGGGUUAUUGAAAAGGAGGACAAUGAGACUUUUCUGUGCUUUUACCGCGCAGUAUCUCGAAACGUAGAUGGAGAUGCUGGCCAUAAUCCGGAGCCUGCGGUUGCUUCGACAAGAAGCAGCUCUUUCGUUACCUCUUCGUGACGUGGGUAAACCCAAUAAAAACGUCUGCGAAUGCGGCGCAAGAGAAGUAAAUCGCAGAUCCACUAUGGAUUUUGGUUCAGCUCGAUCGAGUGCAUUUUCGAAAGAGAGUGUGCCCAACCGAACGUGGAAUUUUAUUCCGUGUUCAAAAACCCCAUAAGACCUCAAAUAAGGUAAGAGUACCCGCUGAACUUAAGCAUAUUAAUAAGCGGAGGAAAAGAAACUAACAAGGAUUCCCCUAGUAACGGCGAGUGAAGCGGGAAGAGCUCAAAAUGAAAAUCGGCGUGCCAAGCGGCCCGUCGAGUUGUAGUCUCGAGAAGCAUUGUCAGCGAGUGACCUCGGUAUAAAUCUUUUGGAACAAGGUAUCAUAGAGGGUGAGAAUCCCGUCUUUGACCGGGAGAUCGCCGCGUACGACAUGCUUUCUAAGAGUCGAGUUGUUUGGGAAUGCAACUCUAAAUGGGUGGUAAAUUUCAUCUAAAGCUAAAUAUGAACGAGAGACCGAUAGCGAACAAGUACCGUGAGGGAAAGAUGAAAAGAACUUUGAAAAGAGAGUUAAAAAGUACUUGAAAUUGUUAAGAGGGAAGCGAAGGCAACCAGUCGUUGCAGGGUGGUCGUCAGGACAUCAGGCUGUGGGUGUGUGGUUUUGAGCGAGUUCCGCAAGGUCUCUGCUCUGGCCGCUGGCAUCUACAGUGGGUGUUCACACGGCUGCUAUUGCGGAUCAGCAUCAAUUCGAACCGUGGGAGAAUACCGGGGGGAAGGUAGGGAGCAGCCGUAAAAAGCUGUUCCUGUUUAUAGCCCUACUGGUUACACCAUGGUUCGGAUUGAGGUCGAGCGGCUUCGCUCCCGGGCUCCUGCUGGCGGCUUGAUGGUGGACAACAAAGUUGUGCACUGUUUCGACCGUUGGUACUGGGUUUGGGUCAGCGGGAUCCGUGUUCGUGAUGCUGAUGAAAUGGUUUUCUUUGACCCGUCUUGAAACACGGACCAAGGAGUCUAACAUAUAUGCGAGUAUUUGGGUGAGUAAAACCCUGAUGCGUAAUGAAAGUAAAGGCUGGCUUGUCCAGCUGAGGUGAGAAUCUCGGCGUUUACAGCGCGUGGGAGGCAUCAUCGACCGAUCGUUUGCUUGCAAAAGAUUUGAGUAAGAGCAUAUCUGUUGGGACCCGAAAGAUGGUGAACUAUGCCUGAGCAGGGUGAAGCCAGGGGAAACUCUGGUGGAGGCUCGCAGCGAUACUGACGUGCAAAUCGUUCGUUUGACUUGGGUAUAGGGGCGAAAGACUAAUCGAACCAUCUAGUAGCUGGUUCCCUC
rnacentral:misc_RNA from 1 species